GGUGGCCUAGUUGUUAGAGCGUCUGCUUCAUAUGCGGGAGGUCGCAGGUUCGAACCUUGACCGAUUCA